GCCCUGGUGGCACAAUUGGUCAGCGCGGUAAGUCCGGCCUCUGUCUUUGGGGGUUGACAAUAGUUCUAAUUAUGAUUCAGUGAGACUUUUAAAGCUACACCUGAAGCUAUGAUAAUCUCAAGGUUGAGAGUUCGAGCCUCUCCCAGGGCG